rnacentral:rRNA from 1 species
CCUACGGGUGGCAGCAGUGAGGAAUAUUGGUCAAUGGGCGCUAGCCUGAACCAGCCAAGUAGCGUGAAGGAUUAAUGCCCUAUGGGUUGUAAACUUCUUUUAUAUGGGAAUAAAGUGCAGUAUGUAUACUGCUUUGCAUGUACCUUGUGAAUAAAGAUCGGCUAACUCCGUUCCAGCAGCCGCGGUAAGACGGGGGGUCCGAGCGUUAUCCGGAUUUAUUGGGGUUAAAGGGAGCGUAGGGGGGGUGUUAAGUCAGUUGUGAAAGUUUGCGGCUUAACCGUAAAAUUGCAGUUGAUACUGGGAGCCUUGAGUACACUAGAGGUAGGCGGAAUGCGUGGUGUAGCGGUGAAAUGCAUAGAUAUCACGCAGAACUCCGAUUGCGAAGGCAGCCUGCUGGCGUGUAACUGACGCUGAGGCUCGAAAGUGUGGGGAUCAAACAGGAUUAGAUACCCGUGUAGUC